rnacentral:rRNA from 1 species
AUUGAACGCUGGCGGCAGGCCUAACACAUGCAAGUCGAGCGGAUGACGGGAGCUUGCUCCUUGAUUCAGCGGCGGACGGGUGAGUAAUGCCUAGGAAUCUGCCUGGUAGUGGGGGACAACGUUUCGAAAGGAACGCUAAUACCGCAUACGUCCUACGGGAGAAAGCAGGGGACCUUCGGGCCUUGCGCUAUCAGAUGAGCCUAGGUCGGAUUAGCUAGUUGGUGAGGUAAAGGCUCACCAAGGCGACGAUCCGUAACUGGUCUGAGAGGAUGAUCAGUCACACUGGAACUGAGACACGGUCCAGACUCCUACGGGAGGCAGCAGUGGGGAAUAUUGGACAAUGGGCGAAAGCCUGAUCCAGCCAUGCCGCGUGUGUGAAGAAGGUCUUCGGAUUGUAAAGCACUUUAAGUUGGGAGGAAGGGCAGUAAGUUAAUACCUUGCUGUUUUGACGUUACCAACAGAAUAAGCACCGGCUAACUUCGUGCCAGCAGCCGCGGUAACAC